CUGAUUAUUAAUGCUACCAGUAUUUGUUUUGAAAGAGAAAAUUUAGUUAUAUAUAAAAAAACAAGGAUAGAGAUUCUUGGACAAAAGCAGAUUAGGCAAAGACAGGAGGGGACUUGCAUUUACAAACAUUUGAGUGCAUUUAGGGAUCAGCCAACCCGAUCAUCUAACCUCUUUCCUAAUGGGAUCAGUCAGCAGAAAAAAGUCAGGACAUAGUGUCACUGGUAUUUGCAAAGGCCAGGAAAUGAGAUCUAUGGGAGAUGUAGACUUACCCUUUUAAACUUUUUCCACUAAUUUUUCUCUUUAUUGCAACACGAAUUUUUAUUCAGAAUAAGGUUAAUGACAACCCAAAACCAAAAGGUUCCAGUGAGCCGAGACAUGCCGAGUCCAGGCCACACAUGUAACAGAUAUGGAAAUAAGAUUUGGAACAUCAAGUGAUGGAUGGGACCAGUGCAAUUCUGGAAAGAUUUGAAGGGAAGAGGAGAAGACCUUGGAAAGGGAAACUACAAUGGAUACCCUGAGCAAACUUGGUCCCCUCUCUUGGGAUCACCAGGAGGUAAAUGUACCUUGACAAUAUGCCAGAGAAAGGAAGGAAAUAAUUUCAUCUGCCAGAUCUUUUCCCCAGAAUUACUUUGUUCCAAAUCUAAGGCCCAGUGGGGAAGAAGUGAUUAACUCCCAAGAUCAUUUAAGCAUCAAAGAGUACUUCUGGUAAGAAAAAACCCUCUUAGAAGGAACAACCAAUGACACCAUUAUUCUCAAAGCAGGUGUAAACAGAAUUUUGUCGAAGCAGAAAGAAAGAAAACAGGAAAAGAAAGGAUGAUGGAAAAAGAGUGUGAAAAGCGUAGAAUGUUAAUAUUUGCUUUCCUCCUGAUUUCAUAAGAGGCAGAGAACCAACCAGGCUCCAGCCCAUAGGCAAGACAUUAUAUGAACAGAUAUCAUGUUAGAUUGGUUUUAGAUCCAGAAAUAACAGUCUGUUCUGUUAAUCUAGUAAAAAAUUAAGAAGUAACUUGGCCUAAAAGAAAGACGCUAUCGUAUAGCAAGUUCUUCAAUUAGGCAGAUGAAGUCCUAGUAAGAGCAAAACGAAGUCCAGGAAAUGUUAACUACAGGUGAAACCAAUUUUUAAUGCACAAUGUAAACAGCUACUGUAAUGACUACCAACCACCAGAAAACUACCUCCAAAAUCUUUAUUAAAAAAUUUAAGUGACCAUGCAAUAUUUUUGCACUAAGAACUAAUAGAAGAUUUGUUGAUUUGAAUUUAAACCCAGACUUGUUUUGAAGUUAGCUUUGAAUCCCUGUAACUCAGUUCUGCUACAAGCAUUACAUCUUUAGUGAAUCUCCAGGGCCUUUUGGAGGUAAAAAUAUUUACAAAUCUCUAAUACUUUAGUUCUUUAUUUACACCAAAAUGCUAUGUGGUUAGUUCCAAUGUAUAUUAAACAAACAAACAAAGCUAUAAUAUGCAAUAUUCAUUCAGAGUAUAAUUAAAUAAAUUGUAUUAACUAUACA
rnacentral:lncRNA from 14 species